rnacentral:rRNA from 1 species
UGCCAGCAGCCGCGGUAAUACGUAUGUGGCAAGCGUUGUUCGGAAUCACUGGGCAUAAAGAGUUCGUAGGCGGUCUUACCAGUCGGGUGUGAAAUCCCUCAGCUUACCUGAGGAACUGCAUCCGAUACUGUAAGACUGGAGUCCUUGAGGGGAAAGUGGAAUUCCAGGUGUAGCGGUGAAAUGCGUAGAUAUCUGGGAGAACGCCAAUGGCGAAGGCAGCUUUCUGGUGAGUGACUGACGCUGAGGAACGAAAGUUAGGGUAUCGAACGGGAUUAGAUA